CUCCUUCAGUGUGCCGAAGAGAUACUGAGUUCUUCCAGAUUUUUGCUUAGCUGGGUAGUUUCUAAACUCAACAGACUCUCCAGGAAAGAAACAGAGACAUGAAGAGGUUAAGACAAGUGACGGAGGUCUCAGGGCCAGGCAGGGAAAGAGUGACUUGUUUUGGAGGGUGGGAGCCCACCCACACAAUCAACCACAGUCACCCAGAUCUGCCCACUGAGCAUGCCUGCCCCUCGUCCUGACAUAACUGAUUAGGAAAUGAUUUCUAAAUGGUCAAGAGUCCAGCCUCGAUAGCCACUUCUCUGAUUCCAACAGAAUUUCUACAGAAGACAAUUUCCUUGUCUCAGCAAGGAAGACAGGCUGAUGGUAAACACAAAGUUCUCUGAACCAAAGCCUUAUAUGUAUGUUUCUGAGGAGGCUCUUUAUAACCUAGUUGCAAGCAAUCUGAACACAGCCCAGCGAAUUUCCAGCUUUUGAAACUCAGAUUUCCUUUUGCGACCCAGGUUCUGCUGAGAAAGUUAUCUUUGGCUCCUCUCUCUCUCACACCCCACAUCCCAUCUGUUCGGAAGUCCUGUUGGCAUUUCGAUCUAUCAAAAUAAAAGUUGCACGUAUGCCUGUGUCCGAUCCCAUUCUCUCUGUGUCCUUUCUCCUCUGUCUUUCUCAAGAAUCUGACAUCUCAGCCCCACAGCUACCAUCCUGGCGGACACUACCACCCUGGGAAAAGCUUCCACCCUCACUUGCCUGGCUUUGCCUCCUGCUUGAACUCCCGGAUUGGGAGCCUUCUGCCUGGACUGGUCUUCACACAGAUCACACCACUCCAAGGAGCAAUGUCCUGCACUGAGCCAUCUUCCAAGAAAUCAAAGCCAAAGUCUUUACAUAGCCUGGCAAGCCCUGCAAGACCUGGCUCCCCUUCCUCUCUGCCCUUACCUCCUUCUUCUCCUUCCCUCCCCCACUUACUCUUUGGAGGAACAGCUAGAUAAGCCAAGCACUCUUACCCUAGGGCUUCUGCAGCAAGUUAUCUGUCCCCUCUGCCUGGGACACUCUUUCCCCAAAACUUCCUGUGCCACCCUCUCUCCUCCUGAGUGUUUGCUCAAAUAUGACCUUCUCAAGGAGGUUCCACUGGCCACUCUAUUUACAAUGGCAGCUUGCACCCUUGCCCUCCCAUUCUCUCGGUCCCAGUGACCUCAAAGAUUCAGGGCAUGUUAGCUGCUACUUACAUCACCAUUCACAGCCUAAGGUUCUCAAAUUGACUUUUAAGAAUUUUCAUGUUGUUCUACAGAAGGAGAGAAAGCCUAAGACUGAUAACAAAAGUCUAAAUGCUCUUAAUGCAGCUGAACUAGACAAAUAAAGUAUCAGAUCGCCAAGAGAUUAACCAUGUUAACCCCAGUAUUCUUUUUGUGGCUGUGGUUGGCAUUAAAUAGGAAAGUGGGUGGACACGUAGGGAUAGUAGUAUUUUUGGUUGGCUUCAAGCUUUGAUGAGUUUUUGUGUGUUUUGUUUUGUUUUACUUUAAAAACCUGCUUUUUAAACACGUAAAUCCUUAUUUGGCUAAUUUUCAGGGCACAGUGUGAGUAUAAACUCAUAUGAGAGUCUAUUGUUCUCUAGAAACUACAGAUUAAGGUGUCUUUAACAGACUGAUGUCUAAUUAUUACAUAAAGGCAUCUGAUUUUUAUACCAGGACACCUAUAAGCACAUUAUUAUAGAGGUGGAACAUUUGAUAACUCUGCCAUGCUACAGUCUGUAACUGACCUUUUGCCUUGCCAUGGAUUCUACCCUAAGGGGAAAAACAACCUGA
rnacentral:lncRNA from 1 species